AGUGGUGAUGAUUACAUGAAGGAAAUACCUGUUCCCAUACCGAACACAGAAGUCAAGCUUCAAUGUGCUGAAAAUAUUUACGGGUUACCCUGUUGAGAAAAUAGGUUGUUGCCAUUA
rfam:Clostridium sp. CAG:492 genomic scaffold, scf59